UACGAAGGGGGCGAGCGUUGUUCGGAAUUACUGGGCGUAAAGGGCGCGUAGGCGGCCGAUCAAGUCAGAUGUGAAAGUCCUGGGCUUAACCUGGGGACUGCAUUUGAUACUGAUUGGCUUGAAUUCGGGAGAGGAUAGCGGAAUUCCCAGUGUAGAGGUGAAAUUCGUAGAUAUUGGGAAGAACACCGGUGGCGAAGGCGGCUAUCUGGACCGACAUUGACGCUGAGGCGCGAAAGCGUGGGGAGCAAACAGGAUUAGAUACCCCCGUAGUCC
rnacentral:rRNA from 1 species